rnacentral:rRNA from 1 species
GAUGAACGCUGGCGGCGUGCUUAACACAUGCAAGUCGAACGGUGAACACGGAGCUUGCUCUGUGGGAUCAGUGGCGAACGGGUGAGUAACACGUGAGCAACCUGCCCCUGACUCUGGGAUAAGCGCUGGAAACGGCGUCUAAUACUGGAUAUGUGACGUGACCGCAUGGUCUGCGUUUGGAAAGAUUUUUCGGUUGGGGAUGGGCUCGUGGCCUAUCAGCUUGUUGGUGAGGUAAUGGCUUACCAAGGUGUCGACGGGUAGCCGACCUGAGAGGGUGACCGGCCACACUGGGACUGAGACACGGCCCAGACUCCUACGGGAGGCAGCAGUGGGGAAUAUUGCACAAUGGGCGCAAGCCUGAUGCAGCAACGCCGCGUGAGGGAUGACGGCCUUCGGGUUGUAAACCUCUUUUAGCAGGGAAGAAGCGAAAGUGACGGUACCUGCAGAAAAAGCGCCGGCUAACUACGUG